rnacentral:rRNA from 1 species
GACGAACGCUGGCGGCGUGCUUAACACAUGCAAGUCGAACGGAAAGGCCCUGCUUUUGUGGGGUGCUCGAGUGGCGAACGGGUGAGUAACACGUGAGUAACCUGCCCUUGACUUUGGGAUAACUUCAGGAAACUGGGGCUAAUACCGGAUAGGAGCUCCUGCUGCCUGGUUGGGGUUGGAAAGUUUCGGCGGUGGGGGAUGGACUCGAGGCUUAUCAGCUUGUUGGUGGGGUAGUGGCUUACCAAGGCUUUGACGGGUAGCCGGCCUGAGAGGGUGACCGGCCACAUUGGGACUGGGAUACGGCCGAGACUCCUACGGGAGGCAGAAGUGGGGAAUAUUGCACAAUGGGCGGAAGCCUGAUGCAGCAACGCCGCGUGCGGGAUGACGGCCUUCGGGUUGUAAACCGCUUUCGCCUGUGACGAAGCGUGAGUGACGGUAAUGGGUAAAGAAGCACCGGCUAACUACGUG